rnacentral:rRNA from 1 species
AGAGUUUGAUCCUGGCUCAGAAUCAACGCUGGCGGCGUGCCUAACACAUGCAAGUCGAACGCGAAAGCCCUUUCGGGGGUAAGUAGAGUGGCGUCCGGGUGAGUAACACGUGGGUAAUCUGCCUUCGGGUGGGGAAUAACCCAGGGAAACUUGGGCUAAUACCGCAUAAUGCAGCGGCACCUAAUGGUGAUUAGUUGUUAAAGCGGGGGAUCGCAAGACCUCGCGCCUGAAGAGGAGCCUGCGGCAGAUUAGCUAGUUGGUGAGGUAAUGGCUCACCAAGGCUUCGAUCUGUAGCUGGUCUGAGAGGACGGCCAGCCACACUGGCACUGACACACGGGCCAGACUCCUACGGGAGGCAGCAGUGGGGAAUUUUGGGCAAUGGGCGAAAGCCUGACCCAGCAACGCCGCGUGAGGGAGGAAAUCCUUCGGGAUGUAAACCUCACAAGCAAGGGAAGAGAGUCAUGGGCUGAAUAAUCCCAUGGUGCGACGGUACCUUGCGUAAGCCACGGCUAACUACGUGCCAGCAGCCGCGGUAAUACGUAGGUGGCAAGCGUUGUUCGGAAUUAUUGGGCGU